GAUGAACGCUGGCGGCGUGCCUAAUACAUGCAAGUCGAGCGAACAGAUGAGGAGCUUGCUCCUCUGACGUUGGCGGCGGACGGGUGAGUAACACGUGGCUAACCUACCUAUAAGACUGGGAUAACUUCGGGAAACCGGAGCUAAUACCGGAUAAUAUAUUGAACCGCAUGGUUCAAUAGUGAAAGACGGUUUUGCUGUCACUUAUAGAUGGAUCCGCGCCGCAUUAGCUAGUUGGUAAGGUAACGGCUUACCAAGGCAACGAUGCGUAGCCGACCUGAGAGGGUGAUCGGCCACACUGGAACUGAGACACGGUCCAGACUCCUACGGGAGGCAGCAGUAGGGAAUCUUCCGCAAUGGGCGAAAGCCUGACGGAGCAACGCCGCGUGAGUGAUGAAGGUCUUCGGAUCGUAAAACUCUGUUAUUAGGGAAGAACAAAUGUGUAAGUAACUAUGCACGUCUUGACGGUACCUAAUCAGAAAGCCACGGCUAACUACGUG
rnacentral:rRNA from 1 species